AGUGAACGCUGGCGGUAGGCCUAACACAUGCAAGUCGAACGGCAGCACAGUAAGAGCUUGCUCUUACGGGUGGCGAGUGGCGGACGGGUGAGGAAUACAUCGGAAUCUACUUUUUCGUGGGGGAUAACGUAGGGAAACUUACGCUAAUACCGCAUACGACCUACGGGUGAAAGCAGGGGAUCUUCGGACCUUGCGCGAUUGAAUGAGCCGAUGUCGGAUUAGCUAGUUGGCGGGGUAAAGGCCCACCAAGGCGACGAUCCGUAGCUGGUCUGAGAGGAUGACAGCCCACCUGGAAACGAGACACGGGCCAGACCCCCAAGGGAGGGAGGAGGUGGGAAUAUUUGGCCAUGGGGGGAAGCCUGAUCCAGGCCUACCGGGUGGGUGAAGAAGGCCUUCGGGUUGUAAAGCCCUUUUGUUGGGAAAGAAAAGCAGCAGGUUAAUACCCCGCUGUUCUGACGGUACCCAAAGAAUAAGCACCGGCUAACUUCGUG
rnacentral:rRNA from 1 species